rnacentral:lncRNA from 10 species
UCGGUCUUCUCGCGUCCCCUUAUCCCUCAUCCUCCUCAUUUUUUUUUUCCAUCAGCAUAAUGGGGGAAUCAUUGCAGUGUGGCCAGAGAGGAGCAGACGAGAUUAUAGAUGAAAGUAGAGAAAAACGGUGGGCAGGGGCAGGGAGAGGAAAGGCCAGACAAAUGCAAUCAUUUCUCCAAAGGAUUUGAGAAGAGAUCAUUUAUUUGAAAUAUUCCUGCCAUGUUGAUGGAGCAGCUCAAUCUUUUGCCAGUGAAUCUUUAGCGUUUUGUUUUUCAUUUGUAGAUAUGGUUGAACAUAUACUUAGGACACGUAAUAACUAUGGAACUUCAUCACAAACACAGCACUGAGGACAUGUUCUGAAUACAGACAAUAUGGAGGCCUCAGGCUCAGAGGAUGGCAGAGUCUUCAGAUGGAUGGAGGGAGCUGCAGUCACUGAACCACUGCAGGGAGAGAAGUACUCACAGACCAGGAACGCUCAACUUGGACUGUUAUGUGACAGAAAGAACUUGAUGUAUACCUCCUGACCUGUUCAUCUUGUAGCUGCCUCUUGACAGCACAUGUUGGCACCUUUAGAAAGAUCUAGAAAUCCACGUGUUGUACGUAAAUCUGGGGCUGUUGUUACUGCAGAUGUACCUUCCACAACUUGAUUUUCUGUGAUGUCAAUUAUUCAGAUAUAAGAGGCCGCCCUGUAGAGGAGGAAGGAGGAAGUUGGCUGUGAUUGACCUUGCUAGGUCAUCUUCCUAAUCUUUGUCCUUUCCUGCACCCCAAAUGGAAGAUAAAAGGCAAUGCAAGAUCAGCAUCCUCAGAGACAUCGUUUUGUUUGGGUUUCAUGGAUUGCAAUUGCCAGAGAUGCUUAGGCUGCCUCUAGAGGGAAGAUGAUUGAUUGUUAACCUAUGUGGUCCAACCAAAUGUCUUAGGGGUUAUUGAUAAUUAAAAUGGACAAUAGCGAUUUUCCAUUUCUUCUGGCCUUGGGUGCUGGCAUGUGGAAGUGGUAUUGAUACUCAUGACCAAAUAGGCACUUAUCGAUUUCAGUUUUCAUAAGUUGCCUACCAAAUGCAAACUAGUAACCCAGACGUGGGAGACCUAAUAUUCCAUUGUUAAUCUUUAGGUCCAUAAUUUUUAUUUCCUCUACUUGCCUCUUCUUCCUUCCUCUGCAUAAUGAGUUGGGCUUAUAUAAUUGCACCCAUUUACUCACUCAUUCGUUCAAUCAAUUAUUUGUUCCUAUUUUAUGCCAAGUAAUGAACAGAAGGUGUUGGGGAUGCAAAACCCAACUAAUUGGAAUUUCUAUGUUACAGGAGCUUAUGCUUUAGUGAAAUUAUAGACAAAUUAUUAUACAGUUUUAAUCCAGAAUAGUAAGUGCUAUGGGAGCAUGCACAGAGGAAACAACCCAAUCUUAAGGAAUCAGGAAGGUUUGCAGAGGACUGACAGGAAAAGUGGGCAGGUGAAGAAGAUGGGCAGUGAGAGGAGGAGUGGAAGCACUUUUGCUAGGGAAAAACAUGAAUAAAAGGGAUAAUUUUCUGCUCUUACCCCUGGGUGAUCUUUGCGUGGUACUGUCCAUCACAGUUGGGAGAGACGGCUCCUCAGAGCUGCUCCACACUGUUCACAGAGGAUGCCAUUCCAAGGAAACUGGGGAAUAGGGAAAGUCUUUAGCUUAUUCCUCUUUGAGGUUUGUUUGAGAUGCAGUUUCUUCAAUAUUUUGAGUCUAUGAAAACAUGUUGUAUACUUAAAUAUAUACCACAAAAAAUAAAAAAAAUUGCGAUUUAAA